rnacentral:tRNA from 1 species
GCCGUGGCUCAGCGGUAGAGCGCUUGCCUAGCAUGUGCAAGGCCCUGGGUUCGAUCCUCAGCAGAACA